CACGUCAGCGCGCUUUGCUGACGUGGACACAAAUCGCGUCCAUGUAAGCGCGAUUUGUUGCCACAUCAGCAAAGCGCGCUGACGUGG
rfam:Gossypium raimondii Chr04_contig_1219, whole genome shotgun sequence.